CACGUAGGGUGCGAGCGUUGUCCGGAAUUAUUGGGCGUAAAGAGCUCGUAGGCGGUGUGUCGCGUCGGCCGUGAAAACCUGCAGCUUAACUGUGGGCUUGCGGUCGAUACGGGCAUCACUGGAGUUCGGCAGGGGAGACUGGAAUUCCUGGUGUAGCGGUGAAAUGUGCAGAUAUCGGGAGGAACACCAAUGGCGAAGGCAGCUCACUGGGACGGUACUGACGCUGAGACGCGAAAGCGUGGGGAGCAAACAGG
rnacentral:rRNA from 1 species